rnacentral:snRNA from 1 species
UAGAGUUUACAGCUCUUUUAAAAUUUGUCCGGCAGGUUUUCAGAAACCCCU